UACGGGAGGCAGCAGUGGGGAAUAUUGAGCAAUGGGCGAAAGCCUGACCCAGCAACGCCGCGUGAAGGAAGAAGGUCUUCGGAUUGUAAACUUCUUUUAUGAGGGACGAAGGACGUGACGGUACCUCAUGAAUAAGCCACGGCUAACUACGUGCCAGCAGCCGCGGUAAU
rnacentral:rRNA from 1 species